CAAAGACUGACGCUCAGGUGCGAAAGCGUGGGGAGCAAACAGGAUUAGAUACCCUGGUAGUCCACGCCGUAAACGAUGUCUACUUGGAGGUUGUGCCCUUGAGGCGUGGCUUCCGGAGCUAACGCGUUAAGUAGACCGCCUGGGGAGUACGGCCGCAAGGUUAAAACUCAAAUGAAUUGACGGGGGCCCGCACAAGCGGUGGAGCAUGUGGUUUAAUUCGAUGCAACGCGAAGAACCUUACCUGGUCUUGACAUCCACAGAACUUUCCAGAGAUGGAUUGGUGCCUUCGGGAACUGUGAGACAGGUGCUGCAUGGCUGUCGUCAGCUCGUGUUGUGAAAUGUUGGGUUAAGUCCCGCAACGAGCGCAAC
rnacentral:rRNA from 1 species